rnacentral:misc_RNA from 1 species
AAAGUCGUAACAAGGUUUCCGUAGGUGAACCUGCGGAAGGAUCAUUCACAAUAUCCUCUUUUUUUCAUUUUUCGUUUUCUUGUUUUGUGAUGAAACAAUGAACAAUGAACAAAUGAAGGGUGACAACAAAGCCCAAAUUUAUGUGUACUGUACUCAGGGUUGAUAUCAAUUCUUCCCUGAUUUCAUUCAUCUGCUUGUAAACAAAAUAACGAAAUAAAUGGGGUAAAUGGAAGGCAAAUAAUAAAUCGUUAUUUUGGCAUUUUAGAAUGACAAUGUAUGAAAAUAUUUAUAAAUAUAAAUAUAACUUUCAACAAUGGAUCUCUUGGCUCUC